CCUACGGGAGGCAGCAGUAGGGAAUUUUCGUCAAUGGGCGCAAGCCUGAACGAGCAAUGCCGCGUGAACGAUGAAGGUCUUCGGAUCGUAAAGUUCUUUUGAAGGGGAAAAAGAGCGGAGAGAGGAAAUGAACUCCGAUUGAUAUUACCCUUCGAGGUAGUCACGGUUAACGACGUGCCAGCAGCCGCGGUAAUACGUAGGUGGCGUGCUGUAUCCGAAAUGAUUGGGCGUAAGGGGUGCGUGGGCGUCCUGUAAAGUCUGUAGUGAAAUGUACGGGCUCAAACGGUAAAGGCAGUGGAAACUGGCGGGCUAGAGUGCAGGAGAGGUAGGCGGAAUUCGAGGUGUAGCGGUGAAAUGCGUAGAUAUAUGGAAGAACACCAGUGGCGAAGGCGGCCGGCUGGCCUGUAACUGACGCUGAGGCACGAAAGUGUGGGUAUCAAAUAGGAUUAGAUACCCGGGUAGUC
rnacentral:rRNA from 1 species